CAUGCCUAGCAUCAUAGGGAAAAACAGCUGGAGCAAUUGAAGUUAGGGUUAAGGAUCUCAAGGGCUUGGACUUCUCAGAGAUGAAGAUCUGGAUCACUCCAUCAGGCAAGCAACGAAGACCAGAUGAAAUGCUGCUUGAAGGGCUGGCAUAUCUAGAAUUGGUGGUAGAAAUAGCAGAACCAUACAUCCAACUUACAUUGCAAUUACUGCAGAGGAAGAGAGAUGGAGAAGUUAAAAUGAAACAUUUCAAGGAUGAAUGGGCACUGAAAAUUGGUAAAGUGGCAGAAAAGUCCAAGCUUGAAGAAUGAAAAAGUAAAUGUAUGGAGAAAAAGGAGUUUGGAAAACAGGAAAAAAAAAGAUAUUUUGCAGAAACAUCUGUUUGCUGUUGCUAAAAAUUUUAGCAUUUAAAUGUUCUCAUUUGGGCUCUGAAGUUAGCACUUCCUUGAAGUAGUUCACACCUUUGCUAUUGCUCCUGUUCAGCUACAGAUCAUUUUAUGCAAGGCUGAUUUUAACAAGAAAAUGGUGCAUUAAUUU
rnacentral:lncRNA from 1 species